AAUCUAGAAAUUAGUACAGGUAGUCAGCUUAUGUCUGAAUAAGAAAAAGUUUCCCUUUCACUUUCACCUCUAUUACAAAAACUUCAAAUUCGAUCUAUUUUUGCAAGGAAAAUAUAUAAUGUCACUAUUUGAAGAAAAAUGGAAGCUGAAAGGAUGAAGAAGCUUUAUAAUUCUAUGUUGGAAAUUAAUCUUUGUUUUUGUCUUUCAAAUCUGAUUUUGUGGUCUUUUAAAGUCUGGUAAGCUCUCCUCUCCCUGUGAAAUUAUUUUUCAUUUUCGAUUUUGAAGAUGUAAGUGAAAUUCGUGAUUUUUUAUUGUUGAAUUUUAGUAGAUGUCGAAAUAUGAUAUUAGUUUAUGUAAGUAAGCUUGCUUUUUUUUGGUCUCUAUAAUGUCUGGUAUGCCCUUCUUUUCUUUUGAUUUUCUUUUCGUUUUUGAUUCGAAUAUGCAGUUGCAAUUUAGAUUUGUUCUUUUGAUACGAACAUGCAAUUAAAAUUCGAGAUUUGAUGCAACUGCCUUGAAAAAAAUAUAUAGGAUGAAAUGAAAUUUUGAGUAAUAUAAGAUUGGGAGUUGUAUAAUGACGUUAAUGGUAUCUUCUUGUUCCAUUUAUACUUGUUUUGAUGAUAUAAGGUGCCCUGUAGUGUUUGGAAUUGUAUUUAUAUCAAUUGGCUGGUUGCUUCUGGAAAAUACUCUCCUUUCAUCUGAACCUUAAUACAAAUUCUUGUCGUAAAUGGUGGUUUGCUUAAAUAAUAAGUUCCAUUUUUUUCUUUAAUUUUGUCUCAAAUCAGUGGAUUGAGACUCCAUUGAAGCUAAUACCACCACUUAGUUCAAGAAAAAUCAAAGAAAUUGAUGAACUUAUUUCUGAAACUUGUGCUACAGUCUUUCCCCAACUCAAAAUCGGAGCUUACAUUUUGAUUACAGUGAACCAAUAUUUGAAUAAGUAAUCAUUUGACAGCUCAAGCUCUCACCAGGUGCAAAUCUUUGUAUUCGUAGACUUAUGUCUAAUACAGGUACUAUCUAAUCUCUAUAAGCUCUAAUUUCGAAUUAUUGAUCAUCCUAUUUCAUCCCUUGCAUGCGUGUUGAGAUAUCUCCCUAUUCUGGUAUAUAGUUGCCAAGAUAAUGUAGACAUUAUCCUAACAUGGUUCUUUGUUUUCUUCCUUAUUGUUGUUUCGGUAUAGAGUGAACUAUUGUAUUAUUUUUUUGAUUCAUCAGUAGCUUUUCAGGAUUGUAUAGUAUUUUUUUUUUCUAAAAGGAAAUGGAAGGAGCACUAUGAGAUUGUAUGUAGUGGCAAACAACUAAUAGCUUAUUUUAUAGCUGUUUCCUUUUCUUUUUCUUGAAAUGUCGGUAUCAUGGUUGUUACUGGAUAAGAAUUGGUUACCAGUUACUCAAUGCAGAUACUAAAUUCACCGACUAAUAACCCCUUUCCCAGAGAGCCAGUCAAUUUUGAUGAGGUUUCUAUGCAUCAAAGCAGAAUUUUUGACCAAUAUCAUCCUUAUUGUUUCACUCAAACUUUAACCACAUCUUUAUGUUAUUUCAGUUAGCUGAAAACAUCCUCCAAUUUUUCAAAAGUUAUCCAAAAACAUCCUUCCGUUAAGUGUUCUGUCAGUAUUAAUGUUGAUCCGUUUGUCGCAUGAGUUGGUCUCAUUUUCUUAAAGGUGGAGCGUAGAGCUCCUGAAGAUGUUGCAACAGGAUGAUCAUUGAAGUCAUUUAAGUUCCUUAAGACCAAAAAAACUCCCACAAGUUCACCUGAUCUGAAGUUUGGGCAUUUGAAAUUGAAGAACCCCAUGGUGGUGAGUGGACUCAAAAACUAAAAUCUCCAUACAGAGACGUUAAGCUUCUCUCUGAACAGUUGAGGUAUAUUUUUACUUCUAUUGACUACAAAGCUGGCAGUAAAACAAAGUACCUUACUCUGUAAAAGUGUUACCAAAUGGAGGUUUGGUUGUAGAUGUUUACAUUUAGAGAUUUUCUAUUGUAUCAAUUAACAUUAUUCAAUUCACCGUGGUGCAUGCUGCAUGCUGCAGGCUCGCGAAAAGUUUUUAUGACUAAGGAAAGGUACAAAAAAUGACAUUACCAGUGUACUGGAGGAGGUAUAGACAGACAUAGCAGCUAGCCAUUCAUACUGCCUAUAAUAUUCUGAAGUCCCUCUUUUUAAACUUUUGCACAUAUGAAUGCCUACUUUGAAAAUAAAUGAAGGCAAAAAAACUUUCUUAACAUGAUUUUAACUCUUCCAGGAACUCCAUAAUGUAAAAUCAACUUUCGAGCAAGCUCGAUUCAGUUUGGUGAGUGAAUGUGGCGCUGGAGCAUCUCAAGGGAUCUCUCUGACUUUAAUUCAAGAAGUUUUACCACAAUAGCAAUGGAUGCUCGGCUUCGUUAUUUCAAACA